CAAGUCGAGCGGCAGCGGGAAGUAGCUUGCUACUUUGCCGGCGAGCGGCGGACGGGUGAGUAAUGUCUGGGAAACUGCCUGAUGGAGGGGGAUAACUACUGGAAACGGUAGCUAAUACCGCAUGACCUCGAAAGAGCAAAGUGGGGGAUCUUCGGACCUCACGCCAUCGGAUGUGCCCAGAUGGGAUUAGCUAGUAGGUGAGGUAAUGGCUCACCUAGGCGACGAUCCCUAGCUGGUCUGAGAGGAUGACCAGCCACACUGGAACUGAGACACGGUCCAGACUCCUACGGGAGGCAGCAGUGGGGAAUAUUGCACAAUGGGCGCAAGCCUGAUGCAGCCAUGCCGCGUGUGUGAAGAAGGCCUUAGGGUUGUAAAGCACUUUCAGCGAGGAGGAAGGCAUCACACUUAAUACGUGUGGUGAUUGACGUUACUCGCAGAAGAAGCACCGGCUAACUCCGUGCCAGCAGCCGCGGUAAUACGGAGGGUGCAAGCGUUAAUCGGAAUUACUGGGCGUAAAGCGCACGCAGGCGGUUUGUUAAGUCAGAUGUGAAAUCCCCGAGCUUAACUUGGGAACUGCAUUUG
rnacentral:rRNA from 1 species